CCGGCGAUAGCUCAGUUGGCAGAGCGGUGGACUGUAGGCGUCAGCGGUCAUCCGUAGGUCUGUGGCUCAAAUCCGCCUCGCCGGA
rnacentral:tRNA from 1 species